rnacentral:lncRNA from 1 species
AGGAUGAAGAACCUAUCAAACUUUCAAAUCAGGUGAUCCCAGUUUUCCUGUUUGGGAAUAUGACAACUUCUUCGCCAUUCUUAUAAAACCAGGAUGAACCACGAUUUAAGAAGCUUGAUUUGGAUACAUAAAGUAGUGGACAAACACCAGGAAGUUUAAUAAAUCUCAUAGGAGUUAGGAUGAAGAAGCUAUCCCACUUUUAAAUCAGGUGAUCCUAGUUUUCCUUUUUGGGAAUAUG